AACGAACGCUGGCGGCAGGCUUAACACAUGCAAGUCGAACGGUUCCUUCGGGGAUAGUGGCAGACGGGUGAGUAACGCGUGGGAACCUACCUUUAGGUACGGAACAACAGUUGGAAACGACUGCUAAUACCGUAUAUUCCCUAUGGGGGAAAGAUUUAUCGCCUAUUGAUGGGCCCGCGUUGGAUUAGCUAGUUGGUUGGGUAAUGGCUAACCAAGGCGACGAUCCAUAGCUGGUCUGAGAGGAUGAUCAGCCACACUGGGACUGAGACACGGCCCAGACUCCUACGGGAGGCAGCAGUGGGGAAUAUUGGACAAUGGGGGCAACCCUGAUCCAGCCAUGCCGCGUGAGUGAUGAAGGCCCUAGGGUUGUAAAGCUCUUUCAGCGAGGAGGAUAAUGACGUUACUCGCAGAAGAAGCCCCGGCUAACUUCGUGCCAGCCGCCGCCGUAAUAC
rnacentral:rRNA from 1 species